rnacentral:rRNA from 1 species
UACAGAGGGUGCGAGCGUUAAUCGGAAUUAUUGGGCGUAAAGAGCUCGUAGGCGGUUUGUCGCGUCUGCCGUGAAAGUCCGGGGCUCAACUCCGGAUCUGCGGUGGGUACGGGCAGACUAGAGUGAUGUAGGGGAGACUGGAAUUCCUGGUGUAGCGGUGAAAUGCGCAGAUAUCGGGAGGAACACCGGUGGCGAAGGCGGUUCUCUGGGCCUUACCUGACGCUGAGGAGCGAAAGCGUGGGGAGCGAACAGG